AUCUACCGCCUUUUUUCCUUUCAGAAAUCCCCCAAAUCGUAACGGCAUGUUGCCUUCUCCUCAUCAACCAGAGGACGGCACAAUCUCUGAUCUGGAUGCCCCAAGCGCCACGAGAAACGCCAUGGUUCCAGUGCGUACCUCUUUUUCUUAUUACCGGAGGUCAUACAGUGAGAUGCGGAUGCGGUACUCAGAUCUACAUCCUUUCAGCGAGACUGAGGAGUAUUCAUUGAAGUAAUUGGAGAUUGCUGCAUCACGGAUGUGGAUCAAGUUAUAAGUUUUGGAGAGUAAGUCUGUAAGACGAAGCAACUAGGCAAUGUUUCAAUGGGCAAAGACUUGAAGAUGGGCAUAUCUAGACAUUUGGAUUUACAACUUGAGCAUCCAGUUAAGGUUCCAACUGCUCUUGUGGGUACAAAUCAAAGUAUUUUUUCUGACGUUGACUCUAAUAAAUUUAGUGAGGCAAGGAAUAAUUGACAGGGUGAUAGCUCAUCCAGAAAUUUGGAGAAAACUGCUGAUCAGAUACAUGUAAUCCCCAAGAUCACUUGGCUUUUAUGGACAGCAGAGAGUUGAAGAUCCAAAUGGACCCUUAAAGAUAUCAGAUAUCAAUAAUGAAACUGUUAAUGAUGCAAAAGAACCACCAUUGCUUGAUCUUACUUUCAAGAGGAUUACAAAAGUUGAACACACAACAAACACAGUUCAGGAUGACGGCAAUCUCUUGUGACAGUUGGGCCUUUCAGCCUUCUCAAGGUAUGAGGAGGCUUAGGAUCCAGAAAAUAUUUUUGCUGUUUAUGAUGGAAUCUUGAACAGAUUCUUCCAUUUGUUGUUCGCUGCUAUUCAGUUACAGUGUAGCCUCAAAUGCUAAUAAGUCCCAUUGCAGGAACGUGGAAGGCGGUUCUCCAUGUGAUAAUAGCUCAAAGUAGAAAGGAAUUGACAUGUAAUUUUCAAUCUCAUUCAAGUGCCAAAUCUCCCAAUCAGUGCUCAUAUGGGGGAACCAGUAGUUUUGAUCUGGGCUCUGCAACUGAAAAAAAAAUAUUCUUAGUUCUCCAAUGGUUUGAUUAGCAAGGGCUUAAGCUUUUUACUUUUCCUCUGUUUUAAUUUUUGGACAGUUAUCUUGUUAUAGGUGCUAAUGUUGGCUGCUGUUUUCCUGUCUAUUAUUUCCUAUGAUCUUCUUUUCUGUGCUAAUGGUGACCUCCCCAACACCAUGAAAAAAUGAAGGGGAAAAGGAAGAAGAAAAAGAAGUGGCAUUAACAUCAGUGGUCAAAUGUUCACAUCCAUGCCCUGCUUUCUGACCUAUGAAAGUUGAUCUUUUAUGUUACCACAGUUUGUUGGAUUAGAUAAGAGGCUAAUGAGAUGGCAGUCAAAACUCAUUCUGGCUGAACAAGAGGGACGUGCUUGGAUCUCCAUAUUUGGCCUCUUAACCAUCAACACUAACCUGUCUAAAACAUAAAACACCGGUUGCCACUAAGCCAUGAGGUGUUGUGAUUGAAAAAAAUGACAGCAGCUGCUCCAAAAUGUGGCUCUUCCAACUGUCUGGGCUUGCCUGCUGAAGGUAACACAGGAAGUAAUGGGUUGGAAGCAUGUCAAAUAGUAAAAGUGGAGGCAAUGGCCUGAACAUGAGCAGCACAAUGUUGAAGGCUAUGGGGAUAAACAUAGGAGGUGAUAAUGUGAUAGCUGGGAAAAAUGGAAGUGUUGAUGCUAGUGAGAAGGAAUGGAAGCAAUGGAAACAAAAUAGAUCUCAGAGAGAAGCAGCUUUGGUCAAAUUUCAUUAAGAGAGAAAGGAGAGAUGUAUGAUGCUUCAAAAAUAAGGUACUCUGAACAAAUACAGUUGUCCCCUUGAACUAGUUUGGAGGUUACCUUCUUAUGGAUAUUCAAAAGCCCAAAAUCUCGCCUUCCAGAUCAGCUAGUGAUCAAGAUUCUUCAAUCUAUCUUCAUGAAAUUUUCUCUUAUCAUAGAUACAGUUUAAAUUUUCUCUUAUCAUAUUGGCUGGCAAGUAUUAUUUUCAUUAAAUCUUAUAUUUGGCACAUACUGUGUAACACAACUUGCUGUUUCUUACAUUGGCAAGGACAUACAAUAUGAUGCAACAGAACAGAACAGAUAGUAUACAUAUGUGAAGAUGCUCAAAAAUCUUCAUGGAUAACUGAAAAUUUCUUAUUCCUUAUUUUCUGGAUACAGAGUGGGUUUUUUCAAAGGGGGAGGACUCUCUUUCUCUUAGUUACCCGUGAUUUCUUUUUACAGGCAUUUUUCUGUAUAGGUGCUGGCAUUCUUGUGAAGGGGUUGGCUUUUCUGCAAGCUGCCACAUGCUUUGUUGACUAUUGGGAAUAUGGGGACAAGAGUAGUUGUGCUCAUCUUUUUAGGCGCAGGUCCGUCGGUCAGGUCAAUGGUCAACCUGCAAGUUUGGAGGUCAUUUUUUUUUCAUGGUCCUUAUUUUAGGGUGAGGUGAAUUUGUGCACCCUCAGGUUUUGAGAUAGACCAUUCUCCUGGUGGUUUUAUUUUUGGUAGCUCCAAUAUGUAUGUCUAUAUAAUCAAUAUAUAUGUAUCACAUAUGCCCCCAAUGUUUUCCAAGUGGAACAGACUUCGAUAUUUUUUUUUGUGUUCAGCUAUCAAAACAGCUGUUUUGUUGCUAUUGAACAAAAGAUAAGCUUGCUUGUCAAGUGUUUAGAGACUUGGACAAAAGAUAAAUGAGGGUGUAAGGUAGGGGAGGAUUUAUGUAUAUGGGGACAGCUUCCUCCUGGGAUAAAAAACAAGAAAAAGUGAGUUGGUUGUUUCAUCUUUUCUUCAGAUGCAAUACUCUGGAUUACAUAUCAUUGUUGAAAAUUUGGAUAGAACCAACUGUUUGUUUUGAUUUUUAGGUUUGAUGUCAGACCAGGGAGAUGAUGGUCAGAAAAUUUGUGUGGAAGAUGUUCAUAACAAUGCAAGCAGGAGCACGAUGGAUUCUUUUGAAAUGCUACAACUGCCCCUACUUUUAAAGGUAUGGCAUGAUCUGCAUUGGGCUGCUUACUGCCAUUGACUGAUAAAGAGCUGCCAUAAUCCUUGCCCUCACCAGC